rnacentral:lncRNA from 1 species
AAUGCAGGAAUACCUUAUCUUAUUCCAGAAAUUAUUUUUACCCAGACCUGUUGAUUUUCCCCUUACAUUUGUAUAGAUGUUACACUCUAUCAUAUUUAGCUUAAACAUAGACUGAGCUCUCCUGGCUGUGUUACGAGGGCAACUGACUCUAGGAAUUGCUGCUUUUCUUGAUUUCCCAGAGCUUUGUGUUUCCCCAUCCCCGAAUCUCCCCACACCCCGUCAUAUUCAAAACACAGAAUCUCAGCUGUGCAGAGCUUGCAUUUAUAUAUGAUUAAAACCAACUAGUAUUUGAGAGCAUGUGGGUUAGUUAGGAAGAGCUGCUCCCAGAUGGCUCACACCUGAUUCUUUGAGUUUCUGCUAAGAAAUGGGUCCAUGUGGCUUUAAGCACCAAGAAGUGCCAAUGCAAAGUCCACUGU